rnacentral:lncRNA from 1 species
AAGGCAGACAUACAUAACCCUUCUUCUUCUCUGAAAAUGCCUUUCCAACAAACCCUCUCGAGUCACUCCGUGUUCCUUAUUCCUUGGGGUACUUCUACAUGUUGGAAAUAUGCCCUGAAAGUCAAUCUUUGGAAGAAACCUUUUAGGACAAAUGAAACGAUGUAUGGAUGAUUCUUAUACAUCAAAUGGCAAAGACACGAAUUAGGACUAUCUCAAUAAACGAUAUAUGUCCUAAAUAGUGUAUCCAUGGACAGUGGAUCGAUUGAAGAAGUAAUCUAAUGAUGUUAGAC